rnacentral:rRNA from 1 species
AGUGAACGCUGGCGGCAGGCCUAACACAUGCAAGUCGAACGGCAGCACAGAGGAGCUUGCUCCUUGGUGGCGAGUGGCGGACGGGUGAGGAAUACAUCGGAAUCUGCCCAGUCGUGGGGGAUAACAUAGGGAAACUUAUGCUAAUACCGCAUACGACCUACGGGUGAAAGCGGGGGAUCGCAAGACCUCGCGCGAUUGGAUGAGCCGAUGUCCGAUUAGCUAGUUGGCGGGGUAAUGGCCCACCAAGGCGACGAUCGGUAGCUGGUCUGAGAGGAUGAUCAGCCACACUGGAACUGAGACACGGUCCAGACUCCUACGGGAGGCAGCAGUGGGAAUAUUGGACAAUGGGCGCAAGCUGAUCCAGCCAUGCCGCGUGGGUGAAGAAGG